rnacentral:lncRNA from 1 species
GCCGACGACUAUUCGAUGCCUAGUCGGUUCUUGACCAACUAAAUCCUAUACGGAACUACAACAAGUCGGUAUACAACUGACAAUCUACUCGGUGCCAUACUGACGACUUGAAUCUCAUGCAUUUAAAGGAAAAUGAUGGUUAUUCGGUGCAGGCACUAACUACUCUUAAACGUGGGAUGCGGCUAAUGCCCACAAUCGGCCCAUUACUUGGCCUUAACGACAGUUAAUGCAGUAACCGUCCACUAAAUGCCCA